AAAAAAAGCGCACGCGCGAGUUGCUAGGUCAAUACCAAGUUGAUUUUACUCGGCAACGCUCGGACUCGCGUGAUUUGUUACGUAGGCAGUUCGACGAGUUGAGGAUACAUAUAUACUUGACAUAUCCAUCGAGCUCGACCUCGCCCCGAUCGACUUACAAAAUCUUUUGCGUCUCUUCAUUCACUUUUUUAUACGCACCCGCGAUUUUUUAAGACUAAUCAAACGAUGUCGUAUAAAAACUCUGUUUACUUAUCGUCGACCCCAUCCUAUAAAAACUUUCAAAACGCAAACUCAUUUACUAAAUUAGACUAAUGGCAUAAAAUAAACAACCGUUUUUCCAAAUACCGGAGUCAUUAGUAGUCAAGCUUUUAAAAACCCACAGGUUUUCUCCUUCUGUAAAUUUUUAAAAAAUUUUAUACCUGAGGUGUGACGUCCAAAGACAUUUCUGAGUCAUCUUCAUCUUGGGAUUUAUCUUCCCUAUAACACUUGCAGAUUUUAUCAAAAAGUAAAUUUACGGUAAAAAAAUAUGGAUGUAUAAGUAUGAACUUCCGGUGGUACUUGAUCGAUCAACUCUCUUCUAGAUUCCGUAGAAUGAAAGUUCUUAGCACGUCGUACGGAUCUUUUUUAUAGGGUUGUUGCGCGUAUGGAACUUCGGUCACUAGUUCACGGGCACGAAUCGAUGCGCCGAAGCAUUUUACAUUUCAAGUUCAUAUCUAUAAGUUUUACAACACUGACGUUAUCCUGCAUCAUUUAAUCCAGCGAAUUAAGAAGACUGAUGAUAAUUUAUAAGAACAUCAUCUUUGAUGAUGCCGAAGGUCAAAUAAAAAAUUUUAAUGACCUAGUAUAAAUUAUAAAAUAAAAGUCAAGUAACAAUAAGACUUGAGACUUUUGACUUAAAUUGUUAACUAAAGGAUCUUAUUUCAUAGAUCGCAAUAAAACUUUUAGCAUAUAAAAGUAAACAGAAGUAAAGAAAUAUCGUGUUGGUUUACACGUAAAAAAGAUCAGUGUCAUUUCAUUAAAUGCUGCGCUCUAAUUAGUCUACUGUAGCUGUGACGUUUUACAUCUGACACUAAAUUACGUGCUAAUUGUCCUCGUGUUGAUGCUGAACAAGACGAUAGAAAAAAUGUAUUACGGAGGAAGCGAAUCAAAUUGACGUUCGCAUGAAAAAAAUUUAAAUUUAAAAUAAUUAUAAAUUUUGUCAAGAUUUUUUUUUCGUAUAUUUGUUGACCUUCCGAGUCUUAUUGCGUAACAACUGUAUGCUUAAAUAUCAACCGCAAUAACUGAUAAUUGUACAUCCAAUCAUCUAUAAUAUCGGAAAUUGUAUUUCCUUUUAAAUAAAAAUAAUAAAUAAAUAAACAAAAAUAAAAACCGGAGCUGACGUAUAUAAAGAUAAGAAUAACAGGAGAUUAUUUAUUUUAUUGUUGCGUCGAC